UGGCUAACUCCGUGCCAGCAGCCGCGGUAAUACGGAGGGGGCUAGCGUUAUUCGGAAUUAUUGGGCGUAAAGGGCGCGUAGGCGGAUUAAUAAGUUAAAAGUGAAAUCCCGAGGCUCAACCUUGGAAUUGCUUUUAAAACUGUUAAUCUAGAGAUUGAAAGAGGAUAGAGGAAUUCCUAAUGUAGAGGUGAAAUUCGUAAAUAUUAGGAGGAACACCAGUGGCGAAGGCGUCUAUCUGGUUCAAAUCUGACG
rnacentral:rRNA from 1 species